rnacentral:lncRNA from 1 species
CACUCAUGGCAUAUGGAAGUUCCCAGCCCAGGGACUGAACCCACGCCUCCACGGUGACCAGAGCCAGUGCAGUCAGAUCCUUAACGCACUAUGCCACAGUGGGAAGUCCAGAAACAGCAGAAACCAACAGGGUGGAAUACCUGUUGUCAUAACUUUCAUUUUAGGACUUUCUGGGAGUUCUCAGCCAGUGCAAUAAAACAAAAGAAAAAUAAACCUCAAAGAUUUGGAAACAAAAACAUUCUUAUUACUCAUAGGGGUAUGAUUACCUUCUCAGAAAACCUGAGACUCACCAGACAAUUACUGGGAAAGUUAUUAGCAAUAAUGAGAAUUUUGGCAAGGUUCCUAGACAGAAAUAUCAGUAAAUAAAAGACAUUUUUGUUUACUCUUAGGGCUUUAAGGGAGCCUGUCAUUUAGCACUUUUCUUCUCUGUCACAGAUCUUAACAGAGAAAUAAAGCAAAGGAGGAAGGCUGGGUGAGGGUGAACUCUGUUUCUUACUGAUAAAUGAGGAUGCAGCUUUUAUCUGUGGGCAAGAGGGGUCCUUAGUACUGACCCUCAGGUCAGGAAGUCACACACUGGGCCACAGUGAAGGCGGCUGUCCCCAGCCGAGCAGCAGGGACCACCUGUCCCUGGGGGUGGCCAGCUGCCCAAGCAAAGAAGGUUGAGUAGGGACUGUUCUUGUCCAACCCUUGCUCCCAAAGUUUGCUCCCACACUUGCCCAUGAGGUCUGUCCCUGGUGGGCCCCCUGGUGAGGGACCUAAGUGGGUGACAGAGAACAGGACGUUACAUAACCAGGCCCCUGCUGCACGAGAAAAAGCCCUGAGAAAGGGUAUUCCCUGCCCCCAAGCCCUCGCAACCAACAGAAAAUGUGCCUUAAAAAAAGGCACCCGUGGAGUUCCCGUCGUGGUGCAGGGGUUAACGAAUCCGACUAGAAACCAUGAGGUUGCGGGUUCGGUCCCUGCCCUUGCUCAGUGGGUGAAUGAUCUGGCGUUGCCGUGAGCUGUGGCCAGGGAGCAAACCCGCAACAUCAUGGUUCCUAGACAGAUUUGUUAACCACUGAGCCACGACGGGAACUCCCAGAAGUGGAAGGAAAUUUCUUUAAACUAACAGUAUCUUCAAAUGUCCACAGCAAAAAUCACCCUAAAUUCUGAAACUCUAGAAGCAUCCCAUGGACAAGGAUGCCAGCUAUGCCAGCUACUAUUAACAUGUCCUAGCCCCACUGCUACAUGAGAAAAACAAAGUUAUAACAAUUUAAAAAGAGAUAACUUUUGUGUUAUCUAUGGAGGGUACCAUUAUCUACAUUAAAAAACAAGAGAAUCUAAAUUGACCGGUCAUUAGAAGUAAAAAGAGAGUUGAGAAAAUUUUUUCUUUUACUAAACAAAGUCAACAGCCUAAAUGCAACAACUACUUAAAACAUGCGAUUUAUUUAAAAGUCCCAUUCAUAAUAGAAACCAGAACAAUCAGGAGAAAGUUGUAAAGCCUCAUUCAGGCACAUGCAGAAGGCUUCACUAAACAAGUUUCCCAUGGAUGGGGGGCUUAAUAUUGCAAUGAGGGUAAUUUUCCAGAAAUGAAAUUAUAAACGAAAUGCAAUGCCAAUCAAAAUUCCAGUAGGAUUUCUGGGAACUUGACAUAAAGAUUUGAAAUUCUUGUGGAAGAGCCAAGGUCCAAGCCUAGAGGCCAAAACAAGUUUAAAGAGCAGGUAGGGAACGCUUGGCCUGCUAGACGUCAAGGCUCACUGGAAACGAAGAGCUUCAGGGCAGAGCUAGACAAAGAGAGCAAAGAGAGGCGUCGAGAAG